rnacentral:misc_RNA from 1 species
GAUGAAGAACGUAGCGAAAUGCGAUACGUAAUGUGAAUUGCAGAAUUCAGUGAAUCAUCGAGUCUUUGAACGCACAUUGCGCCCCCUAGUAUUCCGGGGGGCAUGCCUGUCCGAGCGUCAUUGCUGCCCUCAAGCACGGCUUGUGUGUUGGGCCUCCGUCCUCCUCCCGGGGGACGGGCCCGAAAGGCAGCGGCGGCACCGCGUCCGGUCCUCGAGCGUAUGGGGCUUCGUCACCCGCUCUUGUAGGCCCGGCCGGCGCUUGCCGACACAUCAAUCUUUUUUCCAGGUUGACCUCGGAUCAGGUAGGGAUACCCGCUGAACUUAAGCAUAUCAAUAAGCGGAGGA